GGCUCAGAUUGAACGCUGGCGGCAUGGCUAAAACAUGCAAGUCGAACGAUCCCUUCGGGGAGAGUGGCGAAAGGGCGAGGAAUAUAAUCGAAUGUACCCCAAGGUAGAGGAUAGCUUCUGGAAACGGAAGGUAAUACUCUAUGUGCUCUACGGAGGAAAGGUUUACCGCCUUGGGAGCGGCGAUUAUCCUAUCAGGUAGUUGGUGAGGUAAAAGCUCACCAAGCCGAAGACGGGUAGCGGGUGUGAGAGCAUGACCCGCCGCAUCGGGACUGAGACACUGCCCGGACUCCUACGGGAGGCUGCAGUAACGAAUCUUCCGCAAUGGGCGAAAGCCUGACGGAGCAAUGCCGCGUGUGGGAUCAAGCAUCUUCGAUGUGUAAACCACUGUCAGGGUCUAGGAAUACUGACCAGACCCAAAGGAAGGGCCGGCUAAUUCAGUGCCAGCAGCCGCGGUAAUACUGAAGGCCCGAGCGUUAAUCGGAAUCACUGGGCUUAAAGCGUACGCAGGCGGACUUGUAGGUAUUUUGUGAAAUCCCACGGCUUAACCGUGGAACUGCAGAGUAAACCACAAGUCUUGAGACAUGUAGGGGUCAGUGGAACGAUGUGUGGAGCGGUGAAAUGCGUAGAUAUACAUCGGAACGCCAAUGGCGAAGGCAGCUGACUGGGCAUGUUCUGACGCUCAGGUACGAAAGCGUGGGUAGCGAACGGGAUUAGAUACCCCGGUAGUCCACGCCGUAAACGAUGCACACUAGGUCGCGGGAACUCUCAUGUUUUCGCGGCCGAAGGUAAACUGGUAAGUGUGCCGCCUGGGGAGUACGGUCGCAAGAUUAAAACUCAAAGGAAUUGACGGGGACCCGCACAAGCGGUGGAGUAUGUGGCUUAAUUCGAUGCAACGCGAGGAACCUUACCUGGGCUAAAUUCACAGUGCUAUUUCUGGAAACAGGAAGUCCCUUCGGGGCGCUAUGGAAGGUGCUGCAUGGCUGUCGUCAG
rnacentral:rRNA from 1 species